UUGUCUGGUCUGAUGCAAUAAAAUUGAAUCGUUUUGGGUUAAUCAAUGUAUAACAUCUUCUUUCCGUUGCGUUUUAGGUUUUGUUUCCGUUGGGUAAGUUGUCUGUGAUGAUUUAUGGGUGCUUGGUAAUUAACUUACAAAGAAAUAUAAGUAAACAACGGUAUGAUGAUAAAAAUUCUCUUAGAAGUCGAUAAAGACUCUUGGCAGGGCAUAAAGGAAAAAAGUGUCAGGAAACUCACAUUUACUGGUUUCAUCACUGAUCCCACGGGAAAGAACAACUCAUCAAUGAAGUUGAUUGGUCUGGCAACCAGAGGCAGAAUAAGGAUGCCAUUCGGAUGGUGAAAUUGUGUUCAUGGUACAAAGAGAAAAGCAUUCUACUAAUCAACUACAAUUUGUAUGAGAAGAUAGCAGGGGCCACAUCUGUAUAUGAUUCAGGCAAUUAUCUCUGGAUGUUCUGUUGGAGGGUUGGCUGCAAUUUUGAACUGUGAUCGAUUCAACAAAUCACUACUAAAGUGAUAUGCCUUGCAAAUGCUGGUAAUUUUAUCAAUGUGUAAGCUUCUUUGUCUUCUUUUUGCUUAUUUUUCUGUGUAAAUGCAGCCUAUGAUUCAUGGCAGGUCAGAUUAUUCUCUUUCUAGAAAAAAAAAAUCAUUUUAAUUCUGAAAUAGUGUUAUGUAUUGUUCCAACUUAAAACUGAUACUAUGUUUAUAUUCAUUGAU